rnacentral:tRNA from 1 species
UCCCUGGUGGCUUAGAUGGUAAAGCAUCUGCCUACAAUGCAGGAGACCCAGGUUCAAUCCCUGGGUCGGGAA